rnacentral:lncRNA from 1 species
AAAGACAAGAAAUGAUCACAUUGGUAUUUUAACGGUGUUAUUGUAAGAGUUUAAAUGUUUAAACAGAGGAUACAUCUAAAACAGGAUAAAACAAGUGCAGUAUGUUGUGAGAAUGUUACUUUAACGUCGACUCAUAACGUCACACUAUAACGUCAUGGGAGUCUUGUGGAAAGACUAACGGUGUUAUUGUAAGAGGUCAUGGGUCAAGGUCCUCACAAUUAUAGGAAGAUGCGCAUGUGUGUGUGUGAGAGUGUGUCCUGUGUGUGUGUAUGUGUCCUGUUUGUGUGUGUGUGUGUGUGUGUGUGUGUGUGUGUGUGUGUGUGUGUGUGUGUGUGUGUGUGUGUGUGUGUGUGUGUGUGUGUGUGUGUCCAGUGUGUGUGUGUGUGUGUGUGUGUGAGUCCAGUGUGUGUGUGUUUGUUUGUCUAGUGUGUGUGUGUGUGUGUGUGUGUUUGUCCAGUGUGUGUGUGUGUGUGUGUGUGUGUGUGUGUGUGUGUGUUUGUCCAUGUGUGUGUGUGUGUGUGUGUGUGUGUUUGUUUUUGUCCAGUGUGUGUGUGUGUGUGUGUGUUUGUCCAGUGUGUGUGUGUGUGUGUGUUUGUCCAGUGUGUGUGUGUGUGUGUGUUUGUCCAGUGUGUGUGUGUGUGUGUGUUUGUCCAGUGUUUGUGUGUGUGUGUCCAGUGUGUGUGUGUGUGUGUGUCCAGUGUGUGUGUGUGUGUGUCCAGUGUGUGUGUGUGUGUGUCCAGUGUGUGUGUGUGUGUGUCCAGUGUGUGUGUGUGUGUGUCCAGUGUGUGUGAGUCCAGUGUGUGUGAGUCCAGUGUGUGUGUGUGUGUGAGUCCAGUGUGUGUGUGUGUGUGUGUUUGUCCAGUGUGUGUGUGUGUUUGUCCAGUGUGUGUGUGUGUGUGUGUGUGUGUGUGUUUGUCCAGUUUGUGUGUGUGUUUGUCCAGUGUGUGUGUGUGUGUGUGUGUGUGUUUGUGUGUGUGUUUGUCCAGUGUGUGUGUGUGUGUGUUUGUCCAGUGUGUGUGUGUUUGUCCAGUGUGUGUGUGUGUGUGUGUUUGUCCAGUGUGUGUGUGUGUGUGUGUUUGUCCAGUGUGUGUGUGUGUGUGUGUGUUUGUCCAGUGUGUGUGUGUGUGUGUGUGUGUUUGUCCAGUGUGUGUGUGUGUGUGUGUGUUUGUCCAGUGUGUGUGUGUGUGUGUGUGUUUGUCCAGUGUGUGUGUGUGUGUGUUUGUCCAGUGUGUGUGUGUGUGUGUGUCCAGUGUGUGUGUGUCCAGUGUGUGUGUGUGUGUGUGUCCAGUGUGUGUGUGUGUGUCCAGUGUGUGUGUGUGUGUCCAGUGUGUGUGUGUGUGUGUCCAGUGUGUGUGUGUGUGUGUCCAGUGUGUGUGUGUGUGUGUCCAGUGUGUGUGUGUGUGUGUCCAGUGUGUGUGUGUGUCCAGUGUGUGUGUGUGAGUCCAGUGUGUGUGUGUGUGUGUUUGUCUAGUGUGUGUGUCCAGUGUGUGUGUGUCUGUGUGUAUCCAGUGUUUGUGUGUGUGUGUGUCCAGUGUGUGUGUUUGUCCACUUUGUUUGUCCAGUGUGUGUGUGUGUGUGUGUCCAGUGUGUGUGUGUGUGUGUGUGUGUGUGUCCAGUGUGUGUGUGUGUAUGUGUGUGAGUGUGUGUGUGUUUUCGUUUGUCCAGUGUGUGUGUGUGUGUGUAAGUGUGUGUGUCCAGUGUGUGUGUGUGUGUGUGUGUGUGUAUGUUUUUGUCCAGUGUGUGUGUGUGUGUGUGUGUGUUUGUGUGUCCAGUGUGCGUGUGUCCAGAAUGUGUUUGUGUGUGUUUGUUCAGUGUGUGUGUUGAGAGUGUGUGUGUCUAUUUUGUGUCCAGUGUGUGUGUGUGUGUGUGUGUGUCCGGUGUGUGUGUUGAGUGUGUGUGUCCAUUUUGUGUCCAGUUUGUGUGUGUUCAGUGUGUGUCCAUUUUGUGUCCAGUUUGUGUGUGUUCAGUGUGUGUUCAGUGUGUGUUCAGUGUGUGUGUGUGUGUGUGUGUGUGUGUGUGUCCAGUGUGUGUGUGUGUGUGUGCCCAGUUUGUGUGUCCAGUGUGUGUGUGUUUGUGUGUGUGUGUUUGUGUGUGUGUCCAGUGUGUGUGUGUUUGUGUGUGUGUUUGUGUGUGUGUGUGUGUGUGUGUGUGUGUGUGUGUGUGUUUGUCCAGUGUGUGUGUGUGUGUGUGUGUGUGUGUGUGUGUGUGUCCAGUGUGUGUGUGUGUGUGUGUGUGUGUGUGUGUGUGUGUGUGUGUGUGUGUGUGUGUGUGUGUGUGUGUGUGUGUGUGUCCAGUUAUUAUUUCAGGGACACUGAGGAUUCAUCAUAAACCCCAAACCCUGGAUAGAGGGGCUCAGUGAAUGUGGAGGUGAAUGUGAUCAGGUGGGUCAGUGUGUCAGAGGAGGCUCUAUAGAAGGACAGAGUGCCGGUUGACCAGUCCAGAUACACUCCUACUCUGUGGGGGGCUGGAGGAGGGGACGUCUAUGGUAGUGGAGUUAUUAUUAUACCAGCUGGAGGAGGGGACGUCUAUGGUAGUGGAGUUAUUAUUAUACCAGCUGGAGGAGGGGACGUCUAUGGUAGUGGAGUUAUUAUUAUACCAGCUGGAGGAGGGG